CAACUCAGUUAGCUUGGACAAAUUUGUUAAAAACUCAACUAGUCUCUGAACCUUUAUCGAAAUAUAUUUCUGUACUGAACAAUGAUUACCAUCGCUGUGGAAUGGUUCCUGGACCUGAUUACCUUCGGCCUGCAUUGGAUGAUUUGGAAUUGUUGUAAAGCUCUACAGAUGCAGAUUAUUCCUUUUGUUAUGGUACUUGCCUGGAUACUCUUUUUUGCAAAGAAAUCAACAAACUCGCCCGCUUCUAACGGAUAUAAAACGGCCAAAGUGAAUCCAAUACGUCGUAAUGUAAAUAUGGAAGGGCAAACCUAGGGGCUUGAAUACCCACGCACACACGCACACGAAGUUGGCAAAUAUUUUGUUGAAUUUGUUGUUAAAUCUCUAAACGAAUUACAACACGAGGCCGUAUUCACUUGUUCCUCUCAA